CAGUCGUACCUACGGACAAUCAGCUUUUUGAGUGUGAUUAUGUGGAUUGUGAGGAGUUUAAUCACCCUCAUGUUUUACGUAUUCGUGCUCUUGGGUGUACUUGCUCGUAUGGUUGGUUAACAUCAAUUUUGGUGGUCAUAAAAUGACUGGAGGAAUGUAGCUUCGAUCUCGUAUUGAAGUGUUAUAGCCUUGGUAGAUGUGAUGACUGAG
rnacentral:rRNA from 1 species